rnacentral:rRNA from 1 species
CCGAAUGGGGAAACCCAGUGUGAUUCGUCACACUAUCAUUAACUGAAUCCAUAGGUUAAUGAGGCGAACCGGGGGAACUGAAACAUCUAAGUACCCCGAGGAAAAGAAAUCAACCGAGAUUCCCCCAGUAGCGGCGAGCGAACGGGGAGGAGCCCAGAGCCUGAAUCAGCAUGUGUGUUAGUGGAAGCGUCUGGAAAGGCGCGCGAUACAGGGUGACAGCCCCGUACACAAAAGCGCAUGUGCUGUGAGCUCGAUGAGUAGGGCGGGACACGUGGUAUCCUGUCUGAAUAUGGGGGGACCAUCCUCCAAGGCUAAAUACUCCUGACUGACCGAUAGUGAACCAGUACCGUGAGGGAAAGGCGAAAAGAACCCCGGCGAGGGGAGUGAAAAAGAACCUGAAACCGUGUACGUACAAGCAGUGGGAGCNNNNNNNNNNNNNNNNGUUAACCGUAUAGGGGAGCCGGAGGGAAACCGAGUCUUAACCGGGCGUUAAGUUGCAGGGUAUAGACCCGAAACCCGGUGAUCUAGCCAUGGGCAGGUUGAAGGUUGGGUAACACUAACUGGAGGACCGAACCGACUAAUGUUGAAAAAUUAGCGGAUGACCUGUGGCUGGGGGUGAAAGGCCAAUCAAACCGGGAGAUAGCUGGUUCUCCCCGAAAGCUAUUUAGGUAGCGCCUCGUGAAUUCAUCUCCGGGGGUAGAGCACUGUUUCGGCUAGGGGGCCAUCCCGGCUUACCAACCCGAUGCAAACUGCGAAUACCGGAGAAUGUUAUCACGGGAGACACACGGCGGGUGCUAACGUCCGUCGUGAAGAGGGAAACAACCCAGACCGCCAGCUAAGGUCCCAAAGUCAUGGUUAAGUGGGAAACGAUGUGGGAAGGCCCAGACAGCCAGGAUGUUGGCUUAGAAGCAGCCAUCAUUUAAAGAAAGCGUAAUAGCUCACUGGUCGAGUCGGCCUGCGCGGAAGAUGUAACGGGGCUAAACCAUGCACCGAAGCUGCGGCAGCGANNNNNNNNNNNNNNNNNNNNNNNNNNNNNNNNNNNNNNNNNNNNNNNNNNNNNNUGCUGGAGGUAUCAGAAGUGCGAAUGCUGACAUAAGUAACGAUAAAGCGGGUGAAAAGCCCGCUCGCCGGAAGACCAAGGGUUCCUGUCCAACGUUAAUCGGGGCAGGGUGAGUCGACCCCUAAGGCGAGGCCGAAAGGCGUAGUCGAUGGGAAACGGGUUAAUAUUCCCGUACUUGGUGUUACUGCGAAGGGGGGACGGAGAAGGCUAUGUUGGCCGGGCGACGGUUGUCCCGGUUUAAGCGUGUAGGUGUGUGUUCCAGGUAAAUCCGGUUCACUUUAACACUGAGGCGUGACGACGAGGCACUACGGUGCUGAAGCAACAAAUGCCCUGCUUCCAGGAAAAGCCUCUAAGCAUCAGGUAACACGAAAUCGUACCCCAAACCGACACAGGUGGUCAGGUAGAGAAUACCAAGGCGCUUGAGAGAACUCGGGUGAAGGAACUAGGCAAAAUGGUGCCGUAACUUCGGGAGAAGGCACGCUGACACGUAGGUGAAGUGAUUUACUCAUGGAGCUGAAGUCAGUCGAAGAUACCAGCUGGCUGCAACUGUUUAUUAAAAACACAGCACUGUGCAAACACGAAAGUGGACGUAUACGGUGUGACGCCUGCCCGGUGCCGGAAGGUUAAUUGAUGGGGUCAGCGCAAGCGAAGCUCCUGAUCGAAGCCCCGGUAAACGGCGGCCGUAACUAUAACGGUCCUAAGGUAGCGAAAUUCCUUGUCGGGUAAGUUCCGACCUGCACGAAUGGCGUAAUGAUGGCCAGGCUGUCUCCACCCGAGACUCAGUGAAAUUGAACUCGCUGUGAAGAUGCAGUGUACCCGCGGCAAGACGGAAAGACCCCGUGAACCUUUACUAUAGCUUGACACUGAACAUUGAGCCUUGAUGUGUAGGAUAGGUGGGAGGCUUUGAAGUGUGGACGCCAGUCUGCAUGGAGCCGACCUUGAAAUACCACCCUUUAAUGUUUGAUGUUCUAACGUGGACCCGUAAUCCGGGUUGCGGACAGUGUCUGGUGGGUAGUUUGACUGGGGCGGUCUCCUCCUAAAGAGUAACGGAGGAGCACGAAGGUUGGCUAAUCCUGGUCGGACAUCAGGAGGUUAGUGCAAUGGCAUAAGCCAGCUUGACUGCGAGCGUGACGGCGCGAGCAGGUGCGAAAGCAGGUCAUAGUGAUCCGGUGGUUCUGAAUGGAAGGGCCAUCGCUCAACGGAUAAAAGGUACUCCGGGGAUAACAGGCUGAUACCGCCCAAGAGUUCAUAUCGACGGCGGUGUUUGGCACCUCGAUGUCGGCUCAUCACAUCCUGGGGCUGAAGUAGGUCCCAAGGGUAUGGCUGUUCGCCAUUUAAAGUGGUACGCGAGCUGGGUUUAGAACGUCGUGAGACAGUUCGGUCCCUAUCUGCCGUGGGCGCUGGAGAACUGAGGGGGGCUGCUCCUAGUACGAGAGGACCGGAGUGGACGCAUCACUGGUGUUCGGGUUGUCAUGCCAAUGGCACUGCCCGGUAGCUAAAUGCGGAAGAGAUAAGUGCUGAAAGCAUCUAAGCACGAAACUUGCCCCGAGAUGAGUUCUCCCUGAGACUUAGAGUCUCCUGAAGGAACGUUGAAGACGACGACGUUGAUAGGCCGGGUGUGUAAGCGCAGCGAUGCGUUGAGCUAACCGGUACUAAUGAACCG